GACGAACGCUGGCGGCGUGCUUAACACAUGCAAGUCGAACGGAAAGGCCCUGCUUUUGUGGGGUGCUCGAGUGGCGAACGGGUGAGUAACACGUGAGUAACCUGCCCUUGACUUUGGGAUAACUUCAGGAAACUGGGGCUAAUACCGGAUAGGAGCUCCUGCUGCAUGGUGGGGGUUGGAAAGUUUCGGCGGUUGGGGAUGGACUCGCGGCUUAUCAGCUUGUUGGUGGGGUAGUGGCUUACCAAGGCUUUGACGGGUAGCCGGCCUGAGAGGGUGACCGGCCACAUUGGGACUGAGAUACGGCCCAGACUCCUACGGGAGGCAGCAGUGGGGAAUAUUGCACAAUGGGCGGAAGCCUGAUGCAGCAACGCCGCGUGCGGGAUGACGGCCUUCGGGUUGUAAACCGCUUUCGCCUGUGACGAAGCGUGAGUGACGGUAAUGGGUAAGGAAGCACCGGCUAACUACGUG
rnacentral:rRNA from 1 species